UACGGAGGAUGCGAGCGUUAUCCGGAUUUAUUGGGUUUAAAGGGUGCGCAGGCGGAUUUUUAAGUCAGCGGUCAAAUCGUGGGGCUCAGCCCCAUCCAGCCGUCGAAACUGGGGAUCUAGAGUGUGCGAGAGGUAUGCGGAAUGCGUGGUGUAGCGGUGAAAUGCAUAGAUAUCACGCAGAACCCCGAUUGCGAAGGCAGCAUACCGGUGCACAACUGACGCUCAGGCACGAAAGCGUGGGUAUCGAACAGG
rnacentral:rRNA from 1 species